rnacentral:rRNA from 1 species
UAACGUUACGGAACGGAGCUAAUACAGGAUAAUAUAUUGAACCGCAUGGUUCAAUAGUGAAAGACGGUUUUGCUGUCACUUAUAGAUGGAUCCGCGCUGCAUUAGCUAGUUGGUAAGGUAACGGCUUACCAAGGCAACGAUGCGUAGCCGACCUGAGAGGGUGAUCGGCCACACUGGAACUGAGACACGGUCCAGACUCCUACGGGAGGCAGCAGCG